UGAAAUUCUAAAAGACAAAAUUAACACAAAUGCACUUUGAUUUCUGGUGUAAGUUUCCAUGUUUUAGCUGUACCUGUGACACAGGACACGAGAGAACGUGCUCAUGUGAACACAAGUGAAGGACACCAUGGGCACUUGCCACACAGAUCCCAGCAAGUGGACUGUGUACAGGGCAUUUCUGCUGAAGCGCUAUGUCUGAUUUUCUGCAUACGGCCCCAUUCCUUUUCCACAAGAGAUGCCUGUACCAACCCAUGGUGGGGGAAAGGACAAAGAUGAGAUCCUGAGCAACUUGAGGAAUAUGGUAAUAGCAGCAGACACAUUCCCCUUGCAUCACAAUGGUCUGUGGUACCGCCUCUGCACCUUGGCCCAAGACCUAACAGCCACAAAAUAAGGUUCAUCUCCUAGCCAGAAUCAAGAGAGGAAGACACAGCAGCCUCACUGUUCCCACAGAGGUGAGGUCUGGAAGGGAUCACCCAGGCCGGGAGACCUGUUUGGAGUGUGCAGUCAUCCUCCUCUCAUUAUUUCCUGAAACUCACAGAAAAACCUUAAGGCAGCCUCUGUGCUUCCAUCCCUUCCAGUCUUGGAUACAGAAAAAUAAUGGACUUCUAUAAGAGUUGCAACACCACGUCGUCUACUAGACAACAAACAGUGCAGGUGUCAUCCCUGGAAACACCCAUAAAAACGCAAGUCAAAUGACCACACCUGUAUUUCAAGGUUGCAAAGACGAGGGCCAUGAAAUGGCACUACCACAUUGAUGGGUAUGAUUCAUUGUAUGACA